rnacentral:lncRNA from 1 species
UCUCUCUAAACCCUACCCCCUACCCCAAGCCCUUGCGAUACUGGCGAUCUUCGGAAGCUAGGACGGCUUCCAAAGCCCUUCUUCGCUCCUCCCAACCCCCACCGGCUUCCUUCGGGCGGUGCUUCAAGCGGUACUCUGAUCAUCGGUGGCCGAAGCCUAUUCUUUUUGCCGGGAGUAGGUCGGCUUUUAGGUUCCAUGAGGUAAGUGUUCGCUAGGGUUCGGGAGGCUCCGAGAGAAAAAUUCUGAGGUACGGGUUGGUUUCAAGAUCUUGGCAUCGGAUUAUCUUGUUGGAUUCUCUUAUUUUAUUUUAGGGUUACUAGUUCCAUUAAUUUGUUCGGAAUCCCGAGGGUUUGUUAUUUGGAGGGUUUUGCUGUUGAUCUCAAAAGGGAUGGGAUUGGGGCCCGAGGCGGCUGAAGUGGUGUCCCGAGAGAAUGAUGGAAAAUCGGAAGGAACGGCAAGAACGAGAAGAAGUGGAGGGCGAGAUGGACAUGGGUCAAGCUUCGUAGUAAUAUUUUGAAGAGUUGCCUCUGGUUUGAUGAGAGGGAGGAGGUGGAGAGGCCAUGGCAUGAUGGACGGCGGCUCCCAAGCUACAAGAGAGUUUGAGAGGUGUCGAGCAAGGCUUUUGAAAAGCUUAUCGAGCUCGAGCCCGAGCCCGAUCCCGAAGUUUAUUGAGCCCGAGCCGGGCUCAGGCUCGGGCUUGAGCUCGUAAUUGAAACACGCUUUACAAGCUCAAACCCGAGCCUUGGGGGGGGGGGUAUCAGUUCUUUUUUUAUUAUCAUAUAAUUCAAAACAGCAUCUUCAAAUUUUCUUCAAUUUUGGGUCUAUUUUUUUUUAAAGUGUGCAAAUGUUAUCGAAUUCUUUGGUAGCUUGAACUCGAUUCCACCACCAAGUGCAAGAGAAAUAUGACAAGAAAAUGGAGAGAGUAGUCGGUUCAUUCACUAUUUCCUUGUUCAUAAUUAAUAUCUUGGUGUUUUUGAUCAAUUUUCUCACAAGUAUGUUGAAAUUUAAAUUGUGUCUAAAUUUUUUUAUCUUGGAAGAUCAUAUUUUUUUUCCAUGAAUCUCAUGCCUAUUUCAAAAUGCUACAAUUUAAACACUAAUGAGCACUCUUGCAAAUCUGGAUGGCACAGGCAAAAUGUGGUGUUAAAAACACAAGAAUGUUAUAGAAAAUCCCUCUAGUUUACUCAUUUGACUUCUCCAGCAAACUGCAUGGUUUAGCAAAUCCUACUUGGUCUUCUAAUUAAAAUCGUUCAAAGUUUUUUCUCACAUCUGAAGCAUAGAAAUAAGGGAAUUAGGGUGGGCGUGGAGUGCUGGUAACACAUUGGAACUUUUCUUAUAUUUCCCUGAAAAAAGAGUAAAAGCAAAUAGGCAAUAAUAUCAUCUCCCUUAUGAUCAAGUAUUAUCCCAAUUUUUCGGAGUUGGCUUUCUGAAUCCUUAUUCAUUUAUAAUCAUAAUCCUAUGGACUUUUCUCAAUCAUACCUGAUAAGCUGGAUCCUCAUUGGUCAAGUACCCCUAUCUAAGAUCAUUUCUGAUUUAAGUCCAUGUUUCUCUAUAUACAUCCUUCCUUGUAACUUCCAUCAAAGUUAAUUUAAAUAUUCCUUUUUUUUUCUUACAACCUUAAGCACAAAUUAAAGUACUCCUUAUAAGAGCCUCCUCAAAUCUUCCAUAUACGCACUAUCUCAAUCGAUUUCAGUAUGGUUCACAUCUAAACCCUUACCUGAUAAGCUAUCAGCUAUUAUUUCAUUAGAAUUUUUUUCAUGGGCAUUGUCUGGUACUCCAAUUUUCAGUCUAGCACAGUUGUUGAACAAUCGGAUUUACUCACAACCCUAAAAUUAUAUUAGCAGUUUUCAUCUAUGGGAACAUGCACAUCUUGCAUUUAAGAAGUAUUUGGUUGUCGAAAAGGAAAAAAGAUUGAAAAUGAAAAACCAAACCUGAAAGAAUAAUGAGAGAAAAUAUCAAUUUUGAAAAAAAAAAUUUCAAAUAAUAUUAUGUCAAUUUUAUGAUUUUAAACCCUUGUGAAAUUUUAUUGCGGAGCUUCUCAAAUUACUGCUCAAAAGCAUCUAAUUUGCUUUCCCAGUGUCACCUUCUCUGUGUCUAAUCAGGACCGUGUCAUGUAACAACUUGCGGCAAACUGACAACAAGAAGCAUGCACACAGUACCAGUUCUAAGCAAUAUCGGAGUUCAAAGUUUAUCGAC